rnacentral:rRNA from 1 species
AUUGAACGCUGGCGGCAUGCCUUACACAUGCAAGUCGAACGGCAGCAUAGGUGCUUGCACCUGAUGGCGAGUGGCGAACGGGUGAGUAAUGUAUCGGAACGUGCCCAGUCGUGGGGGAUAACGCAGCGAAAGCUGUGCUAAUACCGCAUACGAUCUAUGGAUGAAAGCGGGGGAUCGCAAGACCUCGCGCGAUUGGAGCGGCCGAUAUCAGAUUAGGUAGUUGGUGGGGUAAAGGCCCACCAAGCCUACGAUCUGUAGCUGGUUUGAGAGGACGACCAGCCACACUGGAACUGAGACACGGUCCAGACUCCUACGGGAGGCAGCAGUGGGGAAUUUUGGACAAUGGGCGCAAGCCUGAUCCAGCAAUGCCGCGUGCAGGAUGAAGGCCUUCGGGUUGUAAACUGCUUUUGUACGGAACGAAACGGCGAGCUCUAAUACAGUUUGCUAAUGACGGUACCGUAAGAAUAAGCACCGGCUAACUACGUG